rnacentral:lncRNA from 1 species
AAAAUUUUAAAAUUAAUAAUAAAUAAUAUAAAAUAAAUUUAUGUAUCUUUUAUAUAUUAUAAAAGUUAGUUUUUUAUUAAUAUUUUUAGCUUAUAGUAUUUGUCAAGUUAAAGUAUUCUAAUAACUUUAUUUUAAAAUUUAAUCAAAAAUUAAUAAUUUUAAUAGCUCUUUUAGCGCGACGGGAAAAGAAAAAAUAGAAAAAUAAAGUAAGAGAGAAAGAGUGUGAGAGAGAGUGAAAAAAUAAAAAAAUGAAAGUAAGAGAGAGAGAGAGAGUGAGGGAGAGGGAAACAAAAACGUUUUUUAUUUUUUUUGCUCUCUCCGUUGCGCUAAAAUAGCUACUAAAAUUAUAAAAUUUUAUUAAAUUUUUAAAUAAAGUUAUUAGAAUACCUUAUCUCUACAAAUACUGAGAAAACCAUUUUUAAUUAAUAUUUUUAGCUUUCAGUAUUUAUAGAGUUAAAGUAUUCUAAUAACUUUAUUUAAAAAUUCAAUUAAACUUAAUAAUUUUAAUAGCUAUUUUAGUGCGAUGGGAAAAGAGAAAAAAAUAAAAAAGAAAGUAAAAGAGAGAGAGUGAGACAGAGGAGAGAGAGUGAGGGAGAAAAAAAAAUGGG